CGACUCUGGUUUCUCUUCAUUACUCACAAGCCUUUCGCCUUUUACUAAAGACUUUCCGUGGAGAGGAACACUUACGAGUUCAACGUAUUUUUGGAAAGGGCUUUGCUUCUGGCAGAGCC
rnacentral:snRNA from 8 species